rnacentral:rRNA from 1 species
CCUACGGGAGGCAGCAGUGGGGAAUCUUGCGCAAUGGGCGAAAGCCUGACGCAGCCAUGCCGCGUGAAUGAUGAAGGUCUUAGGAUUGUAAAAUUCUUUCACCGAGGACGAUAAUGACGGUACUCGGAGAAGAAGCCCCGGCUAACUUCGUGCCAGCAGCCGCGGUAAUACGAAGGGGGCUAGCGUUGCUCGGAAUUACUGGGCGUAAAGGGAGCGUAGGCGGAUAGUUUAGUCAGAGGUGAAAGCCCAGGGCUCAACCUUGGAAUUGCCUUUGAUACUGGCUAUCUUGAGUACGGAAGAGGUAUGUGGAACUCCGAGUGUAGAGGUGAAAUUCGUAGAUAUUCGGAAGAACACCAGUGGCGAAGGCGACAUACUGGUCCGUUACUGACGCUGAGGCUCGAAAGCGUGGGGAGCAAACAGGAUUAGAUACCCUGGUAGUCCACGCUGUAAACGAUGAGUGCUAGUUGUCGGCAUGCAUNCAUGUGGUGACGCAGCUACGACAUAAGACACUCCGCCGUCGGGAGGUACGGUCGCGAAGAAUUAAACUAACGAAAGAAGUAGACGGCGUGAGACGUGCCGACGGACGACGACGAGGGAGGAGG